rnacentral:misc_RNA from 1 species
AUGAAUUAUGUCGCAAGACAAUUCUUUCAAACACUUGUGAAUUAUAUUAUAUUUUGCUUUGGUCGGUGCAAACCGGCCAACAUUUAAACACAUCAAGAAUUAAAUUGUCUGAAACUGAAUAAAAAACUAUUCA